CCCGGCGUAGCUCAGCGGUAGAGCGCCCGGCUCGACUCCGGGUGGACGCAGGUUCGAGCCCUGCCGCCGGCGCCA
rnacentral:tRNA from 1 species